AGUGAACGCUGGCGGUAGGCCUAACACAUGCAAGUCGAACGGCAGCACAGUAAGAGCUUGCUCUUACGGGUGGCGAGUGGCGGACGGGUGAGGAAUACAUCGGAAUCUACUUUUUCGUGGGGGAUAACGUAGGGAAACUUACGCUAAUACCGCAUACGACCUACGGGUGAAAGCAGGGGAUCUUCGGACCUUGCGCGAUUGAAUGAGCCGAUGUCGGAUUAGCUAGUUGGCGGGGUAAAGGCCCACCAAGGCGACGAUCCGUAGCUGGUCUGAGAGGAUGAUCAGCCACACUGGAACUGAGACACGGUCCAGACUCCUACGGGAGGCAGCAGUGGAGAAUAUUGGACAAUGGGCGCAAGCCUGAUCCAGCCAUACCGCGUGGGUGAAGAAGGCCUUCGGGUUGUAAAGCCCUUUUGUUGGGAAAGAAAAGCAGCAGGUUAAUACCCCGCCGUUCUGACGGUACCCAAAGAAUAAGCACCGGCUAACUUCGUG
rnacentral:rRNA from 1 species